ensembl:lncRNA
GCCAGAAUUGCAGGAAUGCAACACGUGUUGCAGAGGACUCUUUCACUGCCCUCUGUGCCCCACUUUCAGCCCUACUGUCAGGGCAAAGAUUGAGGAGCAUCUAAGUGUGCAUAUAAAAAAUGCUUUGCCUUUCAAAGAUAAAAUGAUAUGCCGGUGCAGGCUGCCUUGUAGGACAACAGGACACUUUCACCGCCCUGUCUGUAAGAUUACAAUCAUACAGCGUGGGGAUAUGGCAAGGCAUUUAUUGUCUUGUCAGCAUUCUUCAAUGCCAAGUCAGCCACCAUUAUCAGGACUGCUCCCCGCUGAACUCUCCGAGGAGACCCGUAUUCCUCCGGCAGUACUCUUCGAGGAGCCCCGUCUCCCCCCCAAGGUUUUGUCUUCGGUUUCUGAGUCUUUGUUAGAACAUUCAUAUGCUCUACCCUCUGUGUUCAAUAAAACUGCAGCUGAUGGAAAGUCC